ACAACAGGUGGAGCCUGCGGUUUAAUCGGACUCAACGCCGGGAAACUCACCAGAUAAGACAGCUGAAUGAUAGUCGGGCUGAAGACUCUACUUGACUAGCUGAGAGGAGGUGCAUGGCCGUCGUCAGUUCGUACUGUGAAGCAUCCUGUUAAGUCAGGCAACGAGCGAGACCCACGCCAACAGUUGCCAGCUCGUCCUCCGGGAUGGUGGGGACACUGUUGGGACCGCCUCUGCUAAAGAGGAGGAAGGAAUGGGCAACGGUAGGUCAGCAUGCCCCGAAUUAUCUGGGCUACACGCGGGCUACAAUGGGUGGGACAAUGGGUAUCGACACCGAAAGGUGAAGGCAAUCUCCUAAACCCAUCCGUAGUUCGGAUUGUGGGCUGCAACUCGCCCACAUGAAGCUGGAAUCUGUAGUAAUCGCGGAUCAGCACGCCGCGGUCGAAUACGUUCCCGGGCCUU
rnacentral:rRNA from 1 species